UAGUCCACGCCGUAAACGAUGUCAACUAGCCGUUGGGGGCUUGACCCUUUAGUGGCGCAGCUAACGCAAUAAGUUGACCGCCUGGGGAGUACGGCCGCAAGGUUAAAACUCAAAUGAAUUGACGGGGGCCCGCACAAGCGGUGGAGCAUGUGGUUUAAUUCGAUGCAACGCGAAGAACCUUACCUACUCUUGACAUCCUCAGAACUUGUUAGAAAUAACUUGGUGCCUUCGGGAACUGAGUGACAGGUGCUGCAUGGCUGUCGUCAGCUCGUGUCGUGAGAUGUUGGGUUAAGUCCCGCAACGAGCGCAACCCUUGUCCCUAGUUGCCAGCACAUAAUGGUGGGAACUCUAGGGAGACUGCUAGGCUAUAGGCCAGAGGAAGGUGGGGAUGACGUCAAGUCCUCAUGGCCCUUACAUCCAGGGCUACACACGUGCUACAAUGGGAGGUACAAUGCGCUGCUAACUCGCGAGAGUGUGCCAAUCGCAAAAAGCCUUCCCC
rnacentral:rRNA from 1 species